AAAUAGAAAGCGAAUAUUUGCGCUUAGUUUCGGCCUAAGUUUUGAGAAAAAUUUCUCUCUAUUUA
rnacentral:tRNA from 1 species